rnacentral:lncRNA from 1 species
CUGAUGUAAGAUAUCACAUCAUCAUAUCUCAUCCCUUGAUUGAUUGUGUAUGCGAAGCCAAUUGGAUUGGAGUUCAUCCUACUUUCCUGCAGCGUCUAACAUGCAUGCGAAGUAGAGGAUCUGCAUAUCCAGACCUUUGUGAAGGUUUAUAUCAGAUAAUUUAGGAUUUGAUCUCUGGUUCUACUAUAAUUCAGGUAAGAAUUUGAUUCUUAAACAAGUAGAAUAUUAGAAAAAAUUUUUAGAUACAACCUGGGCAUUCUGGAGGGAAACUGUUUCCUUCCCUUCAACUGGUAUCAAAGC